UAAUUAAUGUUAGCGUAUCUAAUUGUUCAGCUACAAGAUGCUAGUUGUUGCCACCAAGAUGAAGACAUCAAGACUAUGACCAUAAGCCUUUAUCUUUAAAUAACAAUGCUUUCGGGUUUUGUUGACAUUUCCGCGCGCGCCAUGUUCAAACUACACUUGAAUAUGUUCAGUGUCGUCGGGGAUGGAAGGCGAUGGUGCAGGAUCUGGCUCUACAUUGAUGGUGUCAACGAACAACCCAUGACUGGCGAAACACAUAUCAACCUCUGGUAUGUCAACGCAAGAGCAAGGAGGGAAACAACAGUCAUGAGAGAGACCAGACUGUGCCAGUGUUAAUGAAAAAGAAGACAUUACUGAUAUGUCAACUACAAUGAUUGUGAGCCAUAAAAAAAAUUACAUUUGUGCAUCCACAUGGCCCUUUAUUCUAUACUUAUGUUUGUUGUGUGAUUUAUCUUUACAAUGUACAUUUU